rnacentral:rRNA from 1 species
CCUACGGGAGGCAGCAGUCGGGAAUAUUGGACAAUGGGCGCAAGCCUGAUGCAGCCAUGCCACGUGUGUGAAGAAGGCCUUAGGGUUGUAAAGCACUUUCAGGAGUGAAGAAAGGCGUUGGGUGAAUAAUCUGACGUUUUGACGUUAGCUCCAGAAGAAGCACCGGCUAACUCCGUGCCAUCAGCCGCGGUAAUA